GUCAACGACCAUACCAUGUUGAAAACACCGGUUCUCGUCCGAUCACCGAAGUUAAGCAACAUCGGGCAUGGUUAGUACAGUACUUAGGUGGGUGACCACUUGGGAACGCCAUGUGUCGUUGGCA